UACGGAGGGUGCAAGCGUUACUCGGAAUCACUGGGCGUAAAGGGCGCGUAGGCGGCCUAGCAAGUCUGGUGUGAAAGCCCAGGGCUCAACCCUGGAAGGGCACUCGAAACUGUUAGGCUUGAGUUCCGGAGAGGAGGGGGGAAUUCCCGGUGUAGCGGUGAAAUGCGUAGAUAUCGGGAGGAAUACCGGUGGCGAAGGCGACCCUCUGGACGGAAACUGACGCUGAGGCGCGCAAGAGUGCGGAGCAAACAGG
rnacentral:rRNA from 1 species